rnacentral:rRNA from 1 species
GAUGAACGCUGGCGGCGUGCCUAAUACAUGCAAGUCGAGCGAACAGAUGAGGAGCUUGCUCCUUUCACGUUAGCGGAGCACGGGUGUGUAACACGUGGAUCACCCACCUAUAAGACUGGUAUAACUUCGGGACACCGGCGCUUAUACCGGAGGAUAUCUUGCACCGCAUUGUUCAAUAGUGAAAUUCGGUUUUGCUGUCACUUAUCGAUGGAUCUCCGCCGCAUUAGCUAGUUGGUAAGGUGACGGCUUAUCAAGGCAACCAUGCGUGUACGACCUGAUAGGCUGGUAGGCCGCACUGGAGCGGGGACGGGCACCAGGCGCCUACGGGAGGGAGCAGUAGGGAAUCUUCCGCAAUAGGCGAGAGCCUUACGGAGCAACGCCGCGUCAGUUAUGGAGAUCUUCGGAUCGUAAAACUCUGUUAUUAGUUAAGAACAAAUUUGUAAGUAACUAUACACGUCUUGACGGUACCGAAUCAGAAAGCCACGGCUAACUACGUG